GCUCAGUACGGCGAGUGAAGCGGCAAAAGCUCAAAUUUGAAAUCUAGCACCUUCGGUGUUCGAGUUGUAAUUUGAAGAUGGUAACCUUGGGUUUGGCUCUUGUCUAUGUUCCUUGGAACAGGACGUCAUAGAGGGUGAGAAUCCCGUCUGAUGAGAUGCCCAUUCCUAUGUAAGGUGCUAUCGAAGAGUCGAGUUGUUUGGGAAUGCAGCUCUAAGUGGGUGGUAAAUUCCAUCUAAAGCUAAAUAUUGGCGAGAGACCGAUAGCGAACAAGUACAGUGAUGGAAAGAUGAAAAGAACUUUGAAAAGAGAGUGAAAAAGUACGUGAAAUUGUUGAAAGGGAAGGGCAUUAGAUCAGACUUGGUGUUUUACGAUUAUCUUCUCUUCUUGAGUUGUGCACUCGUAUUUCACUGGGCCAGCAUCGAUUCGGAUGGCAAGAUAAUGGCAGUUGAAUGUGGCUUCACUUCGGUGGAGUGUUAUAGCUUCUGCUGAUAUUGCCUGUCUGGAUCGAGGGCUGCGUCUUUUGACUAGGAUGCUGGCGUAAUGAUCUAAUGCCGCCCGUCU
rnacentral:rRNA from 1 species